UGUCAGACUUUAGAUGAAUGAGAAUCCUAAACUGAGAGAAAACGUUGGGCGUUUGAAUUUGGGUUAUUUUCUGUUGUCUAGAUGUCGGAGUAACAACUUCAGAUAACUGUGAAAAUGGGUAUAUUUGCGGAGAGUCUCAGUCAAAUUCCAUUGUGCUGGUAGGGGAAUGGUGAGCGCGGCAGUCUCACCUACGGUAAUCCACGGUUCGGUUCCCGUUUAACUAAAAUUGAUUUUAGAUCGUAAUUGACCUAUUUGCAUGUUUUGCCUGAAAAAUACGGUCGCCAGUGUUUGCAAAAGAUAUAACUGAACGGAUAUUAUGUGUUCUAGAUAGAAUUGACAAAAGAAGUCAUUAAAAAUAAUGGCGAGACAAUUUCUAUGUAAAACGCUAUUUCGCCCAAAAUGAUCUGGUGGAAUAAUGUAUUGAGAUGGGAGUCGUAAUUAAAUAGAUGUAACAUAGAAGAGAGAGAGUUGUCUGGAGUUGAAUGGAGGGGAUAACGGGGAGAUACGAUGCAGUUCCAGCCUGCCUGGACGUUACGGCUAAUUAUGAAUCAAUUGACAUGAUAAGUUUAACACAAAAACAUGGUACGUUUAACGUUAGGGUAUAGUAAAUUGAGAAGUUCGGUUGGGUUUACUCUGAUGAUUAGAAUUUAAAACUGAACUCAAUCUGAAUAGGGAAUAUAUAUUUUACAAAGGCGGGCAGAUUUGUGUCUAUAGCCAAGCAACGGAAUUGCUAGACACUCAAUGGGGCUAUAUAGUGCAACGCUUUGGACUAUAAAUUAGGUAAGAAUAGUUUAAUCGUAAGAAGUUGUGAUUGUUUUUCUGAUUAUUGAUUUUUGGUUAAGGUAACAACAGUGAAUUUGAACAAAAAGUAACGUAUUCUAAAAAUGAUCUGAUUUCCGUUCUCGUUGCGGGGAACAAAUGAAAAGUCUUAUCUUAAAGGGACAGUGCACGGUAAUCACAGUGGUUUGAGUGUAUGACAAGUGGGAAAAAAUAUUGUGGGACGACAAUUCAAAGAGAGAAAAAUAAGUUACAUGAAACAUCAAGAGAUUUAAAACGAACGACGUGAAGGGAUCAUAAGAAUUAUUGGGUGUCGUUGUAGGAGUAAAUGUUUGGGUUAAGGGGAUUUCCCUGUUCCCAGAGACAAGGCAUUUUUAAGGCGAGCACUCACUAAUGCUGGCCUGAGUUGUAAUUAGACAAGUGAAUAACGUAUUGGGAAUAGAGUUGUAAUUAAAAUACUAAGUCAAAGACGAGACAGGUAUUUAGAGCAAAAUGGAUUCUAAAUGAUAACAAAGAGACCAUUAUGAUUUAUGCCCAUCGAAAAGCUUUUAUAAAAUUGGCGAAUUUAGAAAUGUUGGUUGGGGUGGUAAAUUAUAAUUCAGGAUUAGAACAGAUGUGAUAAAUUAGGGUUGGUUAAUCGAACAAGAAUUAUUUACAAUCCAUUUGAAGUCGCUACGAAUUGGCAGGUUGAGCGCUUGAUGAUGACGUCACUAGCGCGACACUUUUGUCACCAGAGACUGGGAAUAACGGAGCAAACUGUAAUGGCUAUUAGUGUGUGUAUCGAGGCUUCGAGUAACCUUUCAGAAGUUGAGAUAAAAGUGUUUUGUUUAUUUGUUUAUUGGUUAUAGUCAAUUUUUGGGUUUGAUUUAACUUAGUUGAACAGUGUGUUCUGGCGGGGUUUAGGUAGAACUCUUUGUUCCGGAACGGAUGAAAGUUACCCAUAAGUAAAUAAAUUAAAAGAGCCAUGAGGGAAUGCAAAUGCAUAUUUAUUAAAUAUCGGGGAUUAAAUUACGGAUUCCUUACACUGCGAAAUGUACGACAUUUGCGGCAGAGAGAAAAAGUAAUGCAUUGGAUAAUAAUGUUAUCGGGUUAAUUGUAUCUAAAGGUAGCAUGGCCAUUUAAGCAAACAUAUCCGUAGACGAUGUUCAAAACUUAUGAUUAAUGAUUUGAGUCAAAGGGGAAUUAUCAUUAGGUUUUAGUUAUAGUUCACUUAUUGAGUUUCUGAUUCGAGGUAGCAUUAUUGAAUGUUAGUGCAAGUAGAUUUUAAAGAGGCACGCUCACAUAUGGAACCUUAUGAGAUGUUUUUUUAUGGGUUUGAAUCACACAAGUGACUAUUUCUAUUGUAAGGAUAAAGGGAUCUUUAUGUCUAAUAUGGUAUGACCUUUUGACCUUAUCAUGACUGGCUUCUGGGGUCUGAUCAGCCCCAGGGGAGAGUCAUUUGUAUAAUGAAUGGUGUCAUAUUGAGUUACUAGUGUUAAGGUAAAUUCAUUAGAAAUGAAGCAGUUUUGGUUGAGGGUUUAGAAUUACUGUUUGAACCGCAAAUGAGAAAGUGGUUCAGGAUUCUGUCUUAUAACAUUAGCUGUGAAGUUUUUUUGAAUGGGCUAUUAGGAAGUUGGUUUUGUAACAGAGAGAAAGUCAUAUUCAUCAUUUAGAAUAAAUAGGGGAAGAUAACAUAUUCUGGGCCAACAGGGCAGGGAAGAAAUUGAGGUAUUUUUGUUUGAUUUUAACACCCGUGUACAGGAGUGUCAAAAGAUGGGGGACAUUACCUGUGUAAUGGGGGAGGGUGUCCGUAUGGGGAUUACAUGAUAACCAAUUUGGGACAGUUCUGGGACUGGAGAAGAGGAUAUCCUUAUGGCAUAGGGAAUCCCACAAAGGCACUUACAUCCCCGGACUACAAAGGACGAGGACAGACAUGAUGGGUGUGUUUUCUAUUAAGGUACUGCCAAGACCAGAGGUAGCCGGACACACUCCUCUACCACCACUGUGUUAAAAAUACCAUUCAGGUAAUUAAUGUUAGAGACUAUUCGGCUAUUGAUCAAUUAGGCAUUGAGACUGGUUUUGAUGGUAGGGACAAUUUGUGGUUGUAGAAGAAAGGACUGCAUUAUUUGUAGUCAUGCUAGACCUGUUCUGGCUACACACCCAUUUGCUGUAGGAGAAUGAGAGGGGUGGUUGUGUAUUCUGAGAAGUUGUUACCAGGUUAAGCCCAAUUCAACCCUCUGUUCCUCUUUGAGCCCUGUGUUUCCUGCAGUACCUCGCUGGGGCCUCUUGGGGUGUUGAGGCAUAUGGGGGCAAUUACGAGUGCAUCACGGGUACAGGUAAUGGCAUUGAUUAUGGGAGAUUGCCUGAAGCUGAUUGCAGUAGUAACAUAACCAUUAAUUCCACUUGGCCAGUUACAGGCUGAUGUGAGGUGGAUGAGUGGAGCCAAAAGAGUGCUGAGACCCAUUCUUAGAGGAGAAUGGCAAGGUACGUGUGGUCUGACCAGUUUGAUAAUUCCACUGACCAUUGUUGAUGUUGCUGCUGAACAGCUGUUGGGUUCUGUAUCCAGGGGACCUGAAAACACUCCAUCCCAUGGGACACAUAGAUGUAGUGCUCCAUGGACAGAGGAUGUAGUUGACAUACACACUAACCUGUUGGGAGUACCAGUGGGGAUUCCUCAUGAGUUUCAGGCCUUGGAUAGGAAUGAUGGACUCUGGCACUUACUACCUACUAUGGGUCUAGCCAUAGUGGAUGCUAGACAGACUGCAUGGAUUAAUUAUAUCUACUAUAAUCAACAGCGUUUUGUGAAUUACUCCCGUGAUGCACUCACUAGUAUGUCUGAACAGCUUGGGGCCACAUUUGGGGUUUCCAGACAGAAUAGAUUUGCCUUGGAUAUGCUUCUUGCCAGUCAGGGGGACGUUUGCAAGAUGUUCGGUAAACAAUGUUGCACGUAUAUUCCUAAUAAUACCAGUCCAGAUGAUAUCUAAGGCGGGCUUGAUGCACUAUCUGCUAAGACGAGGUCCACGGGGGGGGUGGAGGAGUCUGUUCUCUUGGCCUGGUUUGGUAAGUACACUGAUAUGAUGGUUACUGGAUUUCUGACCCUAAUUCUUGUAUUAUUUGUUAUUGAUGUCAUGUGCUGCUUGCAUCAUACCGUGUUAUUAGAAGUCUGUUACAGAUGUGUUGAAGGCUUCAGGCAUGAUACCUUUGCUUGAUGCUCCAGUUGGAGAGGCUGAGGUGAAGCAUGCCUUGAGGGAAGGAUAAGACUGACUGAGGAUGACCCAUGUAUGUUUGUUCUCCCUGUCGUGAAGGGUGGCAUGGUGCCCACCUGGUGCUGGAUAAGAAUAGCUGAGAGGACCAGAUGGGUUAUAAGAAUGCUUUGUUCUGCUUUACUCUGUUUUACAGGACCAAAGUUUUAUUCCACACUUUGCAACACAUUAAAUCCAUGUUAUGGUCAGAUAGAAUAAUGAGGGUCCCCAAGGAGAGGGCUUGUUAGUGUAGGAAGGAUUUUUAAUAUGGUUAGCAUUUAUUAGAUUAUAAGUUUUUAAAUGGUAUUGUAUUUGGCAGGAAUAUAGGACAUCUAUGAGGAGUUAGGAUUAUUGUUAGGAUUAAGGAAUUUGGAGAAAAGCAGCUCAUAGACAUGUUUUUUUCUCUAAAAGAGGGUCCAUGGGUUUGGAUGGAGCCAAACAGUGAGACAUGAGUAACAUAGCUAGGCAGACAGAGGAGCCAUCCCCCGCACUGCAGAGACCUUGAAGGUUGGAGAGCAGAGAAGUUUUACAGGGAGACGAGCAAAGCCAGGACGAGCAAAGAUAGCAUAAUGGGUGGAUAGAGUUGCUGGGUGGAGACAGGGGUGAGAGUUGGACAUGUGGAAAAUGAAAGGGACACUCCUAAAUGGAAUUUCAGACAUAAGGAUAAUUCACUAAAUCUUAUCUAAGUCAUUGUAUAAGAAUAAGGCAAGGUUGUUACCUGGGCAGAGCCAGGUAACAAAAGGGGGAUGGGUAAAUAGUGUUCUAGAAUAGGAUGUGACCUACGGGAUAAUUAACUAAUAUAAAAAAUAAAAAAAUGUUAAUUGGUUUGACGAAUAAGAAACUAUUUAUAGCGACAAUGGUUCCCAUUUUUCUAAUCAAGUAAUUGAUCAUAUAGGUCAGAAAUUGGAUAUAAAUAUGAAGAAACGUUGUUCUUAUCACCCCCAAAGCGCUGGCCUUAUCGAGAACAUGAAUCGAUCGGUAAAAGGUCGAUUAAGGAAAACACACCUAAGUACUGGAAUGAACUGGGUAAAAUGCCUGCCCAUAGUGUUAAUGACUAUUAGAAUAACCCCUGAUAGGGAGGGGCUAUCUCCAUUUGAGAAGGUUUUUGGUAGACCCUAUAGAAUGCCCCAAUUAGGGCGAUUGGAGGAAGCAAAUGUAGAAAUAGAAAGCAGUAUGGUGGAACACAUAUGAGGUUGUUCAUUAAUCAAACACGUAUGUCAAAAGUUUUAUGCCCAGCAGGAGAACUACAGAGGGAGGUGGCACACGAGAUUCAACCAGGAGACUGGAUCUGGGUCCAAUCGCUAAAGAGAAAAAACUGGAAACAGCCUCGGUGGGAGGGACCAUUCCAAGUACUACUGGUGACUGCCUUCGCUGUGAGAUUAGCCGAAAGAGCUACCUGGGUGCAUAUCACACAUUGUAAGAGGGUGAGUCACACUAGCACUGUCGGACGAUCACAGGAGUUGGAGAGGAACCGUGACCCAUAUGGAACGGGGGUCAAACUCCUUCUGAAGAUUCCCUAUACCCGACCUUUCCCCAGCUGUGAGCGUUCAUAGAAGUGAAGUGAUGGCUUGGCCUCUGGCUGUUGAUAUGUUCUCGGGGAGAGGGUGGGGCUUCACGUGCGCACUGACCGUCCUGAGCUGUUUUAUUGUGGGGGCCAUAUUCCUGAUUCACCAUGAUCCCCCGGAAAGUGCCAAAGAGGAUAAUUUGACUCAUGUGCUAGAUGAGGGAAAUGGGAUGUUACCUAAGAUUCUCAGAAGGUCACUGAAACAAAAUAGUAAGGAAGUGAGGGUGGAAUUGGGCAAGGAUCUCUCAGUAGAAUUUUGUGUAGACCAAUUGGGGUCAUUCACCCCUUGGCAGUCUAGAACCAUGGGACUCUAUGGGAAGUAUUUGUGUAAAUCACCGUGUAAGUCGUGGAGCCAGGUCAUAGCUCACACUGAAAGGGAUGGCUACGUAAACCCAUACACUCAAUUUGGGACCAGGUGGAGACUGGGUUUGGGGAGUCCAACUUAUGGAUUCAAUAUACGGCCAGAUCAGUGGCUAAAGAAGAAUGUUAUGUCUGUGCGAACGCUAAACCCCAGUUAACAACUAUCCCUAUCCCACUGAACGGAAUUAAUUCCCCUAAGGGAAUGGCAUGUAUGGUAAAGCUGUUCAUGAAAGCAGGAAUGCCAGAUAAUGACAGUUGUAAAAUGGGCCAGUGUCGCCAUCUGGUGGUUGUGCGGGGGAAUGAGUUUGACUGAUUGGACUGGUUAGGAAUGCAUUUUACACUCAUACAACAACAAGACAUGAAGUUAGCCAAACGAGAGAAAAGAGAUGCUCCAUCUUGGUCUUUUGACGACAGAGUAUAUAUUGAUAACAUUGGGGUUCCACGAGAGGUGCCGGAUGAGUUCAAGGCAAGAAAUCAGAUACUAGCAGGAUUAGAGUCAAGUAUUUUUAGAGUGGUCUACUCUCAAUCAGAAUGUAGACUGGAUUAAUUAUAGUUACCAGAAGGGUUAUUAAAGGGUUUGUAGAACAGACUGAAGCAAUCAGCUGGAAGACCUGACAGAACAGAAUUUGCAUUAGAUAAAAGGAGAAAGUGGGCGUGGUAAUCAGGACCGUGUCUUACAUCCCAGGUAGCACAGCUCCGGACGAAUCAGUGCCCGAAGCCUCAGCUGUUUUGACCACCCUGGCUCACAGAUUGGCAGAAACUCUGGGGUGGAUACUUCUCUGAACUAAAUUGGGUAGACAGUAUUUAUGGAAAAAUGUGCUGUUAUGGGCCACUUUAACCGGUGUGACUGUGUUAGUCUUGUACGUACGUGGUUGAUUGCGUGUAUGUAUGAAAGUUAUUGUUUCCGGGACUCUGGAGAGAUCAAUGACACUACAGAUUCCAGAUUCCAGGUUCUGACCCAUGGAGGACUGAAGGCAUGUCUACAGAGGAAGUGGACGAAUCCGGAUCUGUCAUUUGUGGGGAAUUUAUGUUUGAUGAGAAUAGUGUUGAGAUGUAGGGGAAUUGGAUUGUAAUUUGUUUCAAUGAUUAAACUGUUUUUUAAUAAAGAUUGUAAAAAGAAAAAAGAUCCUGAAAGAGGAGUUAUGAUUCUGAUGCAGGUUUAAAAACAGUUGGAGUUAAGGUUAGAAUUGAUUAAUGAAAUGUGGAGAGUUGGAUAAACAUUUAUAAUUGAUUUGUUGAUUAUUUGUCUAUUCAUAUGAUAAUCUGAUAAACCUCUAUAAAAAGGUUAAUUAAGUUGUUUAUACUUUCAUUUUUUAUGAUUAAAUAAAACUAGAUGUAGAAUUGAAUGUAUAAUAUUUGAUCAAAGGGAGGAUUGAUAGAGGAAAAUAUAGUUUAGAUAAUCAAUUAUGUAUACAUUAAUGAUUAGAACCAUUCAUGCUAAUACUUAUGUUAUGAUUUGAAAAGUAUGGGUUCUUAAUUGUACUGUUACUGAAAAUGUAAGCAGAAAUGAAUUGUGUCUGUGUCUCCUGGGAAAGGGAUAAGAUCGUUUUUCAAACUGAUGAGAAUGUUUUGGUUGGAUUCCAUUAGGGGAGAGGAGUUUAUCCUUUAGGCAGGUUGGAAUGUAGAGUUAACGUGGGAGCGAGGCUGUGGCGGUCCGACAGAUAAGAAAUGUCUGGGAGACGUUCCAGGCCUGAUGAACAAUGGGCUCUUGUGAGAAUCAGAGAGAGGGUGUAACUGAUGACGUCAUUUUAUGUUCACUUCCUUUAAAAUGUAAUGUUCUUUGUAUUUUGGGUCAGUACUCAUCAAGAAUAAAUGCUGAACUUGUUUUUAA